GCAUUUGAGAAGGCAUCUGGAAAGGUACUACUUGAUUUUCUUAUAGUUCAAGCUGCACUUACAUGCUGUUGAAACUGUGUUUCUAUACAUAACCUUGCUUUAAAAAAAAAGUGAUUUUUUAUUUUGUGUUCUCAAGGUUAAAAUCAUCUCUGAAAUGUAAGAAUUUGGCUUUUAGAGCUUCUCAAUCAUGGAGAUGUUUGUAUUUAAGAUUUCCACCACAUACGACGUUGUUGAAAAAAAAUGUGAAUCAAUUUUAUUUAGUGCCAACCAAGCAACCUUUGCUUCUUUCAUCCCCAAAAAAAAUAUUAUUUUAAUGAAUGUCAUCUGCCACAUACAUGCCUGAUUUCUGAUUAUGCAUAUCUCAAGGCUUGAGGUAUUUCAAUUGGCAGACCUGGCACGACUUGAGCUUGUUUCUGCGCAAUUUUUCCUGUACUAAUUUUUAUUUUUAUCUUUUUUAUUAAUGCUCGCCUUGUGAUACUGUGACAGAAAAUUCCUCUUGUAAUGGC
rnacentral:misc_RNA from 1 species